rnacentral:rRNA from 1 species
UACGUAGGGGGGCAAGCGUUGUCCGGAUUUAUUGGGCGUAAAGAGCGUGUAGGCGGCCAUACAGGUCAGCUGUGAAAACUCGAGGCUCAACCUCGAGACGUCGGUUGAAACCGUAUGGCUAGAGUCCGGAAGAGGAGAGUGGAAUUCCUGGUGUAGCGGUGAAAUGCGCAGAUAUCAGGAAGAACACCCGUGGCUAAGGCGGCUCUCUAGUACGGUACUGACGCUGAGACGCGAAAGCGUGGGGAGCGAACAGG